rnacentral:rRNA from 1 species
GACGAACGCUGGCGGCGUGCCUAAUACAUGCAAGUCGAGCGCAGGAAACUGACGGAACUCUUCGGAGGGAAGGCAGUGGAAUGAGCGGCGGACGGGUGAGUAACACGUAAGGAACCUGCCUCAAGGAUUGGGAUAACUCCGAGAAAUCGGAGCUAAUACCGGAUAGUUCAUCGGACCGCAUGGUCCGUUGAUGAAAGGCGCUUCGGCGUCACCUUGAGAUGGCCUUGCGGUGCAUUAGCUAGUUGGUGGGGUAACGGCUCACCAAGGCGACGAUGCAUAGCCGACCUGAGAGGGUGAUCGGCCACACUGGGACUGAGACACGGCCCAGACUCCUACGGGAGGCAGCAGUAGGGAAUCUUCCACAAUGGACGAAAGUCUGAUGGAGCAACGCCGCGUGAGUGAUGAAGGUUUUCGGAUCGUAAAACUCUGUUGUAAGGGAAGAACACGUACGAGAGGAAAUGCUCGUACCUUGACGGUACCUUACGAGAAAGCCACGGCUAACUACGUGCCAGCCGCCGCAGUAAAAC